rnacentral:rRNA from 1 species
UGGGGAAUUUUGCACAAUGGGGGAAACCCUGAUGCAGCGACGCCGCGUGAUUUAGAAGGCCUUCGGGUUGUAAAAAUCUUUUUUACGGGAUGAAAAUGACAGUACCGUAAGAAUAAGGUCCGGCUAAAUACGUGCCAGCAGCCGCGGUAAUACGUAUGGACCGAGCGUUGUCCGGAAUCAUUGGGCGUAAAGGGUACGUAGGCGGCCUAGUAAGUUAGAAGUGAAAUAAUAUAGCUCAACUAUAUAAAGCUUUUAAAACUGCUAGGCUUGAGAGAUGGAAGGGAAAGUGGAAUUCCUAGUGUAGCGGUGAAAUGCGCAGAUAUUAGGAAGAAUACCGGUGGCGAAGGCGACUUUCUGGUCAUCAUCUGACGCUGAGGUACGAAAGUGUGGGUAGCAAACAGG